GACGAACGCUGGCGGCGUGCUUAACACAUGCAAGUCGAACGAUGAAGAAAAGAAUCGAAGCUUCGGCAGAAAUUCAUUUCGGAUUAGUGGCAGACGGGUGAGUAACGCGUGAGCAACCUACCUCUUACAAAGGGAUAGCCUCGGGAAACCGGGAUUAAUACCAUAUAACAUUGUGACGAAGCAUUUCGAUGCAAUCAAAGCUACGGCGGUAAGAGAUGGGCUCGCGUCCCAUUAACCGGAUGGUGAGGUAACGGCUCACCAUAGUGACGAUGGGUAACCGGCCUGAGAGGGUGAACGGUCACACUGGAACUGAAACACGGUCCAGACUCCUACGGGAGGCAGCAGUGGGGAAUAUUGCACAAUGGAGGGAACUCUGAUGCAGCGACGCCGCGUGAGUGAUGAAGGAAUUCGUUUCGUAAAACUCUGUUCUAUGGGAAGAAAAGGACUGUACCAUAGGAGAAAGCUCCGGCUAAAUACGUG
rnacentral:rRNA from 1 species